rnacentral:misc_RNA from 1 species
GAUGAAGAACGUAGCGAAAUGCGAUACGUAAUGUGAAUUGCAGAUUUCAGUGAAUCAUCGAAUCUUUGAACGCACAUUGCGCCCCCUGGUAUUCCGGGGGGCAUGCCUGUCCGAGCGUCAUUGCUGCCCUCAAGCACGGCUUGUGUGUUGGGCCUCCGUCCUCCUCCCGGGGGACGGGCCCGAAAGGCAGCGGCGGCACCGCGUCCGGUCCUCGAGCGUAUGGGGCUUCGUCACCCGCUCUUGUAGGCCCGGCCGGCGCUUGCCGACACAUCAAUCUUUUUUCCAGGUUGACCUCGGAUCAGGUAGGGAUACCCGCUGAACUUAAGCAUAUCAAUAAGCGGAGGA